CGCUUUUUCUUAAAAUAGUAGCUUGAGUGUAAUUUAUCUACUUGUAAUUAUGUGUAGCUUGUAUCCUGAGAGGCUCCGAUUUCAAAGUAUGUUCCUUAACACAGAGUAUGAGUCUAUAAAUUAAUCUACUGUGAAUCAUGACCUAGUUCUCUUUCUUCGGAGCUCGCAUCUAAACAGCAAAGGGGACAUAAGGAGUCACUUCCUGUCAUGCCACACUUAAAUGGAAAGUUCCACAGACGGAGAGGUGGUGACCUUUCUUUCUCUCUCAGGGUGCUUCAGGGGCUAUCGGAUGUCUUGGAUCUCAGAAACGUGGGAGCAGAUGAAUCAGUGUAACCCAAGCACACGCUGUUCCUGAGGGUCUGCUGUCCAGUUGGACCUCAUUCAGAUAUCCCAGCAUUCCCUGAGUGAGCUGGUCUAAACUGCUCUACUGGUGUGACCUCAGACAUGUUGAAAGAUCUGCCUCUAUGCCAUGCUGCAGGAAUGCUGAAAGACCGCAAAUGCUUUAAAGGAGAAAAAAAUCCUGAUGAGAGACACACGACCAAAACAUAGUUUAUAAAUAAAUACAUUUAAAAAAAAUUUGCAGUUAGUGUGCGGAAUCCGUUUUUGUUUUUUUAUGGAUUUCAGGAGAAACAUCUGAGACAAAAUUCAUAAUUAAAUAUGACACAAAUUGUGAUGUUUUUUUAUAUUGAAUAAAAUUACAACUAAAAGACUUUCAAAUCACAUGAGCCAAUAUUAUAUUCACAACAGAACAUAGAGAG